UACUAGUGACGAGGAGGAGGCAGG
rnacentral:piRNA from 1 species